rnacentral:rRNA from 1 species
CCUACGGGGGGCAGCAGUGAGGAAUAUUGGUCAAUGGGCGCGAGCCUGAACCAGCCAAGUCGCGUGAGGGAAGACGGCCCUACGGGUUGUAAACCUCUUUUGCCGGGGAGCAACGGGCGCCACGUGUGGCGCCACUGAGAGUACCCGGAGAAAAAGCAUCGGCAGACUCCGUGCCAGCAGCAGCGGUAAUACGGAGGAUGCGAGCGUUAUCCGGAUUUAUUGGGUUUAAGGGGUGCGUAGGCGGAGCGUUAAGUCAGUGGUAAAAUUGAGGGGCUCAACCCCGUGCCGCCAUUGAAACUGGCGCUCUUGAGUGGAAGAGAGGUAUGCGGAAUGCGUGGUGUAGCGGUGAAAUGCAUAGAUAUCACGCAGAACCCCGAUUGCGAAGGCAGCAUUCCGGCUUCCAACUGACGCUGAAGCACGAAAGCGUGGGGAUCGAACAGGAUUAGAUACCCUGGUAGUC